rnacentral:rRNA from 1 species
GAUCCGGCUCAGAUUGAACGCUGGCGGCAUGCCUUACACAUGCAAGUCGAACGGUAACAGGUCUUCGGAUGCUGACGAGUGGCGAACGGGUGAGUAAUACAUCGGAACGUGCCCGAUCGUGGGGGAUAACGAGGCGAAAGCUUUGCUAAUACCGCAUACGAUCUACGGAUGAAAGCGGGGGAUCUUCGGACCUCGCGCGGACGGAGCGGCCGAUGGCAGAUUAGGUAGUUGGUGGGAUAAAAG